rnacentral:rRNA from 1 species
UACAGAGGGGGCGAGCGUUGUUCGGAAUUACUGGGCGUAAAGGACGCGUAGGCGGCCUUCUAAGUCGAACGUGAAAUCCCCGGGCUCAACCCGGGAACUGCGUCCGAUACUGGGAGGCUUGAAUCCGGGAGAGGGAUGUGGAAUUCCAGGUGUAGCGGUGAAAUGCGUAGAUAUCUGGAGGAACACCGGUGGCGAAGGCGGCAUCCUGGACCGGUAUUGACGCUGAGGCGCGAAAAGCCAGGGGAGCAAACGGGG